rnacentral:tRNA from 1 species
GGGUGUGUUCCAGAGUGGCCAAAUGGGGCAGACUGUAAAUCUGCUGGCUAUGCCUUCGGUGGUUCGAAUCCAUCCGCACCCA